GUGUCAGCAGCCGCGGUAAGACGAAGGGGGCGAGCGUUGCUCGGAAUCACUGGGCUUAAAGCGGGCGUAGGCCGCUCGGUCAGUCGGAUGUGAAAGCCCUCGGCUCAACCGAGGAAUGGCGUUCGAUACUGCCGGGCUUGAGGGACUCAGGGGCGAGUGGAACUCUCGGUGGAGCGGUGAAAUGCGUAGAUAUCGAGAGGAACGCCGAUGGCGAAGGCAGCUCGCUGGGGGUUUCCUGACGCUGAGGUCCGAAAGCCAGGGGAGCGAACGGGAUUAGAUACCCCGGUAGUCCUGGCCCUAAACGAUGCGCACUAGGUGGGGGAGGCUCUGACGGCCAUCCCUGCUGCAGGGAAACCGGUAAGUGCGCCGCCUGGGGAGUACGGUCGCAAGGCUAAAACUUAAAUGAAUUGGCGGGG
rnacentral:rRNA from 1 species